rnacentral:sRNA from 1 species
UGAGCAAAAUGUAGGAGAGCGAGGGAUAAGCUACAGUGGUAAGAGGAAAAGCCCAUGAGUAGUAAAAGUGUAGAGGCUACUGUGUACUUUUUCAGAAAAAAAACAAAGGGAAAAAAUUACCCAGUAGGGCAAUUUCUUUCAGUCAUUGAGGUUAAUUAUAAAAAUUGUACAUGUUUGUAUCUAAGUGAAUUUAUUAUUAUAUCCCAGAACUUUGUGUAUCUUUCUCUCCCAAUAAUAAUAGGGCCCAGCAAGCAUGAUGGCCUACUUGGUUGUUUCUGGGCUAUUCCUAACUCGACUUAGAAGACCCAUUGGUAAGAUGACAAUAACUGAGCAAAAGUAUGAAGGAGAAUAUAGAUAUGUUAAUUCUCGGCUCAUCACAAACAGUGAAGAAAUUGCCUUUUACAAUGGGAAUAAAAGAGAAAAGCAGACAGUCCACUCAGUCUUCCGAAAACUGGUGGAACACCUACAUAAUUUCAUUUUGUUUCGGUUUUCAAUGGGCUUCAUUGAUAGCAUUAUUGCCAAAUACCUUGCCACUGUUGUUGGUUACCUAGUUGUCAGUCGCCCUUUCUUAGAUUUGUCUCAUCCUCGACAUCUCAAGAGUACACAUUCGGAACUUCUAGAG